CUUGGUCAUUUAGAGGAAGUAAAAGUCGUAACAAGGUUUCCGUAGGUGAACCUGCGGAAGGAUCAUUAUUGAAAUAAACCUGAUGGGUUGCUGCUGGCUCUCUAGGGAGCAUGGUGCACGCUUGUCAUCUUUAUAUCUCCCACCUGUGCACCUUUUGUAGAUCUGGAUAUCUUUCUGAAUGCUUGGCAUUCAGGUUUGAGGAUUGACUUUUGUCUUUCCUUACAUUUCCAGGCCUAUGUUUUCUUCAUAUACCCCAUGUAUGUUAUAGAAUGCAAUAAAAUGGGCCUUUGUGCCUACAAACCUAUACAACUUUCAGCAACGGAUCUCUUGGCUCUCGCAUCGAUGAAGAACGCAGCGAAAUGCGAUAAGUAAUGUGAAUUGCAGAAUUCAGUGGAUCAUCGAAUCUUUGAACGCACCUUGCGCUCCUUGGUAUUCCGAGGAGCAUGCCUGUUUGAGUGUCAUUAAUAUAUCAACCUCCUCAGGUUUUUACUUGUUGAGUGUUUGGAUGUGGGGGUAUUUUUUGCUGGUCUUUUUCGAGGUCGGCUCCCCUAAAAUGCAUUAGCGGAACAAUUUUGUUGACCGUUCAUUGGUGUGAUAACUAUCUACGCUAUUGACGUGAAGCAUGGUUCAGCUUCUAAUUGUCCAUUGACUUGGACAAAUUUUCAUUAAUGUGACCUCAAAUCAGGUAGGACUACCCGCUGAACUUAAGCAUAUCAAUAAGCGGAGGAAAAGAAACUAACAAGGAUUCCCCUAGUAACUGCGAGUGAAGCGGGAAAAGCUCAAAUUUAAAAUCUGGCAGUCUUUGGCUGUCCGAGUUGUAAUCUAGAGAAGCGUUAUCCGCGCUGGACCGUGUACAAGUCUCCUGGAAUGGAGCGUCAUAGAGGGUGAGAAUCCCGUCUUUGACACGGACUACCAGGGCUUUGUGAUGCGCUCUCAAAGAGUCGAGUUGUUUGGGAAUGCAGCUCAAAAUGGGUGGUAAAUUCCAUCUAAAGCUAAAUAUUGGCGAGAGACCGAUAGCGAACAAGUACCGUGAGGGAAAGAUGAAAAGAACUUUGGAAAGAGAGUUAAACAGUACGUGAAAUUGCUGAAAGGGAAACGCUUGAAGUCAGUCGCGUUGUCCAGGGAUCAACCUUGCUUUUGCUUGGUGCAUUUUCUGGUUGACGGGUCAGCAUCAAUUUUGACCAUUGGAAAAAGAUUAAGGGAAUGUGACAUCUUUGGAUGUGUUAUAGCCCUUGGUUGCAUACGAUGGUUGGGAUUGAGGAACUCAGCACGCCGCAAGGCCGGGUUUUUAACCACGUACGUGCUUAGGAUGCUGGCAUAAUGGCUUUAAUCGACCCGUCUUGAAACACGGACC
rnacentral:rRNA from 1 species